GGGUGUAGGCUGCUUGGCCAGUCAGAUGUGAAAUCCCAGGGCUCAACCCUGGACGUGCAUUUGAUACUACCAAGCUUGAGUGUUGGAGAGGUUCGUGGAAUUCCAGGUGUAGUGGUGAAAUACGUAGAUAUCUGGAGGAACAUCGGUGGGGAAGCCGGCGGACUGGCCAAACACUGACGCUCAGACCCGAAAGCGUGGGGAUCAAACA
rnacentral:rRNA from 1 species